rnacentral:pre_miRNA from 1 species
UGAAUGGGUUCUGAUGAAUGGGUUCUAAUGAAUGGGUUCUCCAGAACCCAUUCAUUAGAAACCAUUCAUUAGAACCCAUUCAUUAGAACCCAUA